GACGAACGCUGGCGGCGUGCCUAAUACAUGCAAGUCGAGCGAAGUGGAGAGAGCUUGCUCUCGAAGCUUAGCGGCGAACGGGUGAGUAACACGUGGGCAACCUGCCCGAUAGACCGGGAUAACUUGGGGAAACUCAAGCUAAUACCGGAUAGGAUCAUUAACCGCCUGGUUGGUGAUGGAAAGUCUGAACGACACUAUCGGAUGGGCCCGCGGCGCAUUAGCUAGUUGGUGGGGUAACGGCCUACCAAGGCGACGAUGCGUAGCCGACCUGAGAGGGUGACUGGCCACACUGGGACUGAGACACGGCCCAGACUCCUACGGGAGGCAGCAGUAGGGAAUCUUCCACAAUGGGCGAAAGCCUGAUGGAGCAACGCCGCGUGAGUGAUGAAGGUUUUCGGAUCGUAAAACUCUGUUGUUAGGGAAGAACACCCGGGAGAGGAUCCCGGUUUGACGGUACCUGACGAGAAAGCCCCGGCUAACUACGUGCCAGCAGCCGCCGUAA
rnacentral:rRNA from 1 species